GACGUAGGGCGCGAGCGUUGUCCGGAUUUAUUGGGCGUAAAGAGCUCGUAGGCGGCUUGUCGCGUCGACUGUGAAAACCCGUGGCUCAACUGCGGGCCUGCAGUCGAUACGGGCAGGCUAGAGUUCGGUAGGGGAGACUGGAAUUCCUGGUGUAGCGGUGAAAUGCGCAGAUAUCAGGAGGAACACCAGUGGCGAAGGCGCCGCUCUGGGCCGAGACUGACGCUGAGGAGCGAAAGCGUGGGUAGCAAACAGG
rnacentral:rRNA from 1 species